rnacentral:rRNA from 1 species
CUGUCUCUAUUUAAUUAUUAAUUUAAUUUAAUUUUUAAGUUAAAAAGCUUAAAUAUUUUUAAAGGACGAGAAGACCCUAUAGAGUUUAACAAUUUAAUUUAUAAUUAUUUAUUAAUAAUUUAUUAAUAUAAAUUAAAUUGUUUUGUUGGGGCGAUAAUAAAAUUAAUAAAACUUUUAUAUGAAUUUAAACAUUAAUUUAUGAAAUUUUGAUCCUAUAAUUUAGAUUAUUAGAACAAAUUACCUUAGGGA